GUAUCUGACUCAGGACCUGAUUUAAGGUUUGGGGUUUUUUGGCCCUUUGUUUCUUCCUCUUGUUUUUUGACCUUUAGUUACUCCACACCUCAUUAGUUCCUUGACCUGCAGGUGGACUGAGAAGAGAGCCAUGGUAGCAGGCAAGAGUGUGGUUAUCGUUGGACCAGGAUUCAGGAUCUGACUGAGUAGCUGACUCUUAAUCCAGUUUGUGUUGAUCACCAGGAGGAUCUGGACCUCAGUAUUACCACAUCUAGAGCUAUAAUCACAUCCCUGUUAAGCCUUCCUGAGAUCACACCAAAUGUCCUUGAUGGGAAUUGUAAACAACCCUUACUUCUGGUUUCUAAUGAUAUUCCAGGAAAGGAGCCUAACUAGAGUCAGUGAUAUGCCAACUCCACCUUUGCCUUCCACCAUGUUUGGAAGCUCCCUGAGGCCUCACCAGGAGCAGAUGCUCGUCCCAUGCUUCCUAUAAGCCUGCAGAACUGUGAGCCAUAAUAAACUGUGAAUUAUAAAUUGCCUUUAUAGCAAUGCAAAUGGACCAGUACAGAUGGGAUGCUGGGAAGACAGUUGUUUCCACCUUCAGUAAAGUCCGUGGAACACAGUUGUGACUAUAUUCUAGGCCAGCCAAGAUGCUUGUACUCAGAAAGGAGUGGUCUCAGGACCAUAAGAAAGUGAAAAAAUAAAAAUAAGAAAAUAAAGAA
rnacentral:lncRNA from 10 species